CUUGACUCUGGGAUAAGCCUGGGAAACUGGGUCUAAUACCGGAUAUGACUCCUCAUCGCAUGGUGGGGGGUGGAAAGCUUUUUGUGGUUUUGGAUGGACUCGCGGCCUAUCAGCUUGUUGGUGAGGUAAUGGCUCACCAAGGCGACGACGGGUAGCCGGCCUGAGAGGGUGACCGGCCACACUGGGACUGAGACACGGCCCAGACUCCUACGGGAGGCAGCAGUGGGGAAUAUUGCACAAUGGGCGAAAGCCUGAUGCAGCGACGCCGCGUGAGGGAUGACGGCCUUCGGGUUGUAAACCUCUUUCAGUAGGGAAGAAGGGAAAGUGACGGUACCUGCAGAAGAAGCGCCGGCUAACUACGUGCCAGCAGCCGCGGUAAUACGUAGGGCGCAAGCGUUAUCCGGAAUUAUUGGGCGUAAAGAGCUCGUAGGCGGUUUGUCGCGUCUGCCGUGAAAGUCCGGGGCUCAACUCCGGAUCUGCGGUGGGUACGGGCAGACUAGAGUGAUGUAGGGGAGACUGGAAUUCCUGGUGUAGCGGUGAAAUGCGCAGAUAUCAGGAGGAACACCGAUGGCGAAGGCAGGUCUCUGGGCAUUAACUGACGCUGAGGAGCGAAAGCAUGGGGAGCGAACAGGAUUAGAUACCCUGGUAGUCCAUGCCGUAAACGUUGGGCACUAGGUGUGGG
rnacentral:rRNA from 1 species